UACGUAGGGUGCAAGCGUUUGUCCGGAAUUAUUGGGCGUAAAGAGCUCGUAGGCGGUUUGUCGCGUCUGCUGUGAAAACGCGAGGCUCAACCUCGCGCCUGCAGUGGGUACGGGCAGACUGGAGUGCGGUAGGGGAGAUUGGAAUUCCUGGUGUAGCGGUGGAAUGCGCAGAUAUCAGGAGGAACACCGAUGGCGAAGGCAGAUCUCUGGGCCGUAACUGACGCUGAGGAGCGAAAGCGUGGGGAGCGAACAGG
rnacentral:rRNA from 1 species